UACGAAGGUGGCAAGCGUUGUUCGGAUUCACUGGGCGUACAGGGUGUGUAGGCGGUUUGGUAAGCCUUCUGUUAAAGCUUCGGGCCCAACCCGGAAAGCGCAGAGGGUACUGCCAGGCUAGAGGACGGGAGAGGAGCGCGGAAUUCCCGGUGUAGCGGUGAAAUGCGUAGAGAUCGGGAGGAAGGCCGGUGGCGAAGGCGGCGCUCUGGAACGUUACUGACGCUGAGACACGAAAAGCGUGGGGAGCAAACAGG
rnacentral:rRNA from 1 species